rnacentral:rRNA from 1 species
UACGUAGGGUGCGAGCGUUAAUCGGAAUUACUGGGCGUAAAGCGUGCGCAGGCGGUCUGUUAAGACAGGUGUGAAAUCCCCGGGCUUAACCUGGGAACUGCAUUUGUGACUGCAUCGCUGGAGUGCGGCAGAGGGGGAUGGAAUUCCGCGUGUAGCAGUGAAAUGCGUAGAUAUGCGGAGGAACACCGAUGGCGAAGGCAAUCCCCUGGGCCUGCACUGACGCUCAUGCACGAAAGCGUGGGGAGCAAACAGG